ACUGGCUUCUGCUGUGUUUAGAGCAUAGACUGUAUGAUAAAUGUAUUAUUUAUUACACAGUCUAUGGUUUAGAGAUGCUGCUUUUAGCAACAUUAACAUCAUAGUGGAGCUAAACUCUACAGCCUUGGUCUGGAUCAUUGGGAACAUCUAGUCUGAUGGACUGAGAACUACAGAGAACAUGAACAUCCAGCUGUGGUUGUUUGAAGAGUCUUCUCUCCUUCAUCACUGUGAGGAAAAGCAGCACAGAUGUCCUCUUCAUGCUUCCAGUAAUAAUAAUGCUGCAGAUUCAGCUCCUCUCUUCAGAAUACAACUUGUCUUGUGACUGUUUAGUUUUUACACUUCACUGUCAGCAACACAUUAGUUAUGUCAUCCAUUUAUUUCAUGUGUUUACACAUCUUUACAGCUCAGAAUUGUUAAAUAAUAUAGUUUUUAAAUGUGCAAUAAAGAUAAUAAUGAAGAACCUUCCCUGAA